rnacentral:tRNA from 1 species
GAGCGUAUAGCUCAGUGGUGGAGUGCAUGCUUAGCAUGCAUGAAGUCUUGGGUUCAAUCCCCAGUACCACCA